rnacentral:rRNA from 1 species
UACAGAGGUGGCAAGCGUUGUUCGGAAUUACUGGGCGUAAAGGGCGCGUAGGCGGUCCGAUAAGUCCCGUGUGAAAUCCCUCGGCUCAACUGAGGAAUGGCACGGGAAACUGACGGGCUUGAGUUCGGGAGAGGGAAGCGGAAUUCCGGGUGUAGCGGUGAAAUGCGUAGAUAUCCGGAGGAACACCGGUGGCGAAGGCGGCUUCCUGGACCGACACUGACGCUGAGGCGCGAAAGCGUGGGGAGCAAACAGG